CACGGAGGGUGCAAGCGUUGUUCGGAAUCACUGGGCGUAAAGGACGCGCAGGCGGUCCGGUAAGUCAGAAGUGAAAUCCGUCGGCUCAACCGACGAACGGCUUCUGAUACUGCCGGACUUGAGUACGGGAGAGGAAAGCGGAAUUCCCAGUGUAGAGGUGAAAUUCGUAGAUAUUGGGAAGAACACCGGUGGCGAAGGCGGCUUUCUGGACCGAUACUGACGCUGAGGCGUGAAAGCGUGGGGAGCAAACAGGAUUAGAUACCCGCGUA
rnacentral:rRNA from 1 species